AGCGCCUACCGACCGCUUACCGACGCAGCUGCGUCACGGGUAAACGUCUGAUUAGCGCGGCAAAUUUGCACCUAUCUGCACGCCUUGAGAGAAGCACUACUACUAAAGACAACUCCAUAAAAUGAAAUUGAUCAGAAACCACAGAACCACGCUCCAUCUGUACACCUGCACCCUUGACCCCUAGAAGGUCAGCGGGGGAAAAAAACUGUACUUGCAAAAACAUUCCUGUUUGCCAGCAGUAGCUGAGCUCCUACAGCAGGACUGGGAGUCAACCGGGUUCAUUCUGUGUCCAAAUGUCCCAAGUUGACCGGCAGUACCAUGUACUUACAGCAGGGAUCACAGAGGACACCAACAGCCUUCCAACAUGGCCCAGGGUCCAACACUGGACACUGGAUCGAAAACAUCCAAUUGGGAGUCCGUCUUGAAAUUCCCUCUUCCUGUGAUUUCCUUCUGCUGUAGUCUGUCAUUAGCAUCUUUUUCAAGGCAGCUGUAGUUGUGUAUUACUGUAACCACACAGGAUGUUGUCGACAGUACACGCUGUGUUUUACUAUGCAUAGUGUUUCUAUGCACUGACAUGAUGUGUACACAGACUUUAACAAUGGGUUUUGUUUAGCUAUUCCACCGGUGACAUCAGCUGUUUCUUUUCUUGAAGCAGCAUCCAUAAUCCUGCCGCCCAGACAUGCGGCCCACAUCCAUUUAUACCAUAACCCUCCAUCUACACUUCCCCUGUGUGACCACCAAAAAUGCAAUGUGACUUCAUUAACAAUCCCACAUACUUAAAAAUAUUUGGACUUCAUUUACUUUACCUGUGUUUUACAGCUGUUGGAGCCACCACUUCCAUUUUCUUGUGUUUUCUUUGUAGGUGAGGUGAGUGAAGAAAACUUCUGCCAAUCAUUUUCUCGUACAUACACUUCCUUCCUCUCUUUUCCUUAACAUUUGAAAAUAAUACUGAGGUCGCUGGUAAACUAACCCUACAUUUUCAACUCCCCCUCUCUUAUUAUAGCGCCUCAUUUGCCACAGAAGUAGCUGACACCCAUGCUGACUCCAGGAUCCACCUCAGUCACGUCAUGUCAGCAUGGAGGUGAUCUGGUCUGGUUUUCCUGGAAUGUCCUGAGAACCAGAUGUGAUGGAUACUGGAUUUUCUGGAUGGAGAAAAAUAUAAUUUGAGUCAAUAGUUGUGAUACUUUUGUAAUGAAACAGAUUUAUUAAAUCAAAUAAUUGUACAGUAGUAGGGUUAUUGUUGUCCCUUGUGGCUGUUUAAGAUAUUGCUGCACUUCCUGAAAACCUGGUUAGAGAAAAUCACAACAUAAUUGUUAUCAACUGCUCAUAUUUAUUUACAAAAAAGUGAUAGAAAUUGGAAAAAAAAUAAAUGUACAGAAAUGAUCAGGAUCCAAGAGAGCCACAGAAACAAUGAUGAUGCAGAGGUCAGUGAGCUGUAGGAGCAGUGAGAAUAAAAACCAAAGCAGAGUGGCACCGUUUGUGCACAUGGUACCAGUUAGUUGAUGUCCAUUAAGGACAAUGUGGUCUGGAAUAAACUUUACAUUUCACAGUUAAAGGGAGUUUUUUCAUGACACUUCUACCCUGCACUGCAAGGUCACAGUCAGGCUUUAUAUACACACUCAAGACAGAAAACAAAAACUAAAAAAACAAGAGUAAGAGGAGAGUUUGACCAAGUGCAGAGGCCAACAGUGGGUUACACUGUAAGUUAAUAUUUAGUAAGAGAAGGAGGGGAGAAAACUGCAGCCUUCUGGUGGAGAGGCUGGUCGUUACACCCAUGUUGGAGCACAUCCUCAGAGUUUAGACAACGUUGAAAUCUCAGGACAUCUAUUCAGGGUUGUCACCACAGUAAUUGACAGCAUGUCAAAAUAGUCUUUCUGGUGGUGUGUUUGUUUAAAAAAGGUUAACCAGAACAUGAACCAUAAACAACACCAACCUAAAUAUUUUAGAUUUUCAACAUGUACCAGGUUGAGAAAUUCCCCGGAGUUUGGGGCAGAAACAACAGUAAAAAUCUCUUGAUGCAGGCUUAAGCUAAGCUAUAGCCCCUGUAAAACAUAUUGUUGACCUUAGAAAAACUGAGGUACAGAUAUUCAGCACAUACGAAAGUCCUAUGUUUUUUUCAUGAGUCCAAAAUGUCACCUAUUUUGGGAGAAAAAGCUCAAUAAACCAGGAGAUACUUUAGAAUUAUUUAAAUGCAUCUAAAAGUUAGCCCAAAUGCAGCAACAACUAAAGUCAAGUCAAGAACAAUACUAAAUAUUAGUCUCAAAUUUAAAACAGAAAAAGUCAUUGUUUUGUUGAUAAUACAUCCCAGUUACUGCAUCGUUAAACUUGAAAUCCAAAAACAUCAUGAGAUAAGGAUAGGUAAAAUGUAAUGAACAAUAAAAUAAAAGAAUAGUGUAGAGUAAGCAAAGGUUACCAAAAGGAUGACUAAAAGUCAGCCCAGAAAAUUGGCUUAAAUGUAAAUGAAAAAGAAGCGUUAGCCAAAGAAGUUAGCCAAGUUAAUCAAGAUGUUAAAGUGAGCUAAGAUGAUAGAAUAAGGUUUGCCAAUAAUUUUAGUUAGUCAAGAUUCUAUAUACUUAAAUAUUGUCUUUAAAGCUCAAAUAAACUCUAAGCUCAACGUUUGCCGAUCUCACCAAAAAGUAUACCAAAGACAAAUACUUGUUGAAAAAGUUACUUAAUCAAAUAUAACUAAAUAUGACCUGAAGAUAAAAAAAAAGAAAAUGUAAUUGUUAUAUCCCAGUACGUACAUAUAUUCAAAAUAAAAAGAUUCAAUAAAUUUUGUUAUUUUUUAGUAAGAACCACAUUUUAAAGUAGUAGGCUGCAGUUCUUGAGUCAUUUGAAAGCCCGCCUGCCAGAGAGAGCGAGGGAGAGAUGGAGUGUGUGUGAUGUCAUCCAUCUGCAUGGGUAACCUCAUAUUAGAUAGUGGAAGUGUGUGUAUGUGGGUGGGAGAGGGGGCAGAGGGGUGAAAUCUGGUGCCUUUGUGUCUGGCCUUAAGUUCAUGGUUUGAAAAAGAAAAAAAACAAAAAACAAAAAAACAAAACUGUGUUUCUUUUUCCACAUAGGAACCCAGAGGAUCAUUGGAUGGAAAAAGACUCUGUGCAGUUUAACGCUCAGAUUCAAGUGAGAAAGAAACAGAAGCUGCAGCAAAGACAUUCAGCUGACACUUAUCUAAACAACACAAACAAUGAAAUGAUUUUAAAUGGUUGAUUUCCUUAGUGUCAAUUCAUCCAAAAACACCUUGUCAUCGUAGAUCAGGGGAAAACAAUUGUUUGUCGGUUUUUCUCAGUCUAAAACUCUCUGUGGUUUACAGUCCAGAAAGUGGUGUUAUCCGAUGUACAACUCCACCAUUGCAUGUACUGUAUAGAAUGUUUGCUAAUGCUAACAGCCUGUUAAGUUGACGUUGGCAGCAGAUUAAAGGGCAGAGUCUCGGGGACUUGCCCACAGGGUGGAGGUCGGGGUCUAAUCAGAUCUAAUCACUAGGUUAUUAUCAACUUUGUGAAUUGUGGUCGUUAUGAGAAGCAGCUGAUGAUUCAUAACAACAGGGGUCUCCAGUUUAUUCUACCUCCUGGUCACAGACCACUUCACUCUGGUCUGGAGCCCAGUUUAAGGUGUGGUAGACAAAAAAAUGUUAAACCUGAGUGAUUGUUAUCAGGUCAUGAGUUAAUGACGGACAAUGACAUAAUGCUACAUACAUUCACAUGAAAAUGCCAGUGUAUUUUUUUUAAAACAAUGUUGACUUAAGAAGGUGAAGCAAAGCCCGUGGGUCAAUUUGUAACUUAGCGAGUAUCUUAGCAUAUAGUAACAAAGUUUGAAUUAGGAUUUGGCCUAACGUAAAACUUAGCAUUUAGCAUUUAGCUUAGCUCAUAAUCUAGACUGGAAUAGAUCAUAGGACUAGAUUAAAGUAAAAAAAAA